rnacentral:lncRNA from 1 species
AGACUUUAAUAAUUGUUUCAGCAAUAUUUAACAUUUAAUGAUAUUUAUUACUCUCAUAAUAUCAUUUUUGAUCCGAUAAAUAUGGACUGCCAGCCAAUUUAAAAGAGUGUAAAAAUAAUUCAAAAGGAAAAGUUAAAGCAGCUCAACCAUAUACAUACAUACAUACAUACAUACAUAUAUCAUGUAGUUAAAUCGAUACAUUCCAUCUCUUAUUCAAAGUAAUUAUUAUAUAUGAUUCAGCUUGAUCAGAAACUACCCUUUUACAAUUGCAUGUCGAACAAUACAUACAUAUAUAUAUAUAUGCAUGCGAAAGACAACCAAAAAUUCAGUCUGGAUCGGAUGGAACAAUUUGUGCGCCACAAUCAGGUGGUGGACUCGCCUUGAUUAAUUUUGUUAUUGUCAGUGGAAGCUAAUAAGGGAUUAGAGGAGGAAGGGGGAGCCUUUAGAAUAAUGUUCUUCUUGAUUUCACGGCGAACUGCCAAGGCCGCUGGCGACGAGGACGACUGUACUUUGAAAUCGGAGGUGGUUUCGUCGGACUUGAUCACCGUCGGAAGUACUUGGGGGCCAGUGACGUCACGAUUUACGGAGGGCGGUGGGAAAAAGAAAUCGGUGGGGAAGAAAUUGUAUUGAAGACCAGCCAUUCGAGAGAAAAAUAAAAAUUUGGAAGGAUUAUGAGCAAGGGUAAGGGAGUUUGUUCUUCAACUAUACGUACUAUAUAUAUAGACAGGCAGAGGCAGAGGCAGAGGCAGAGCUAGUGUUUGUCAAUUAGAAAUGUCAUGCCUCAGUCUAGCUAGGCCGUCAAUGCUAGCCACCAAAUUAAGCCCAAGGGGGAUGCAUGCUAUGCUAUGGUACUUCCAGUUUGAUUAGUGGAAUAUUCUUAAAAUGUUAUUUUUGGAAAUGGUUACUAUGAAGUUCAUUUUUGGGUAAGUCUGUCAAUUGGUUAAUAGAGUGUAGAUACGCAUGCGAGGCUCUAUGUGUGUCAACAUUCUAUUGGUCAAUUGACUAACUUAUCAAAAAAUAAGCUUUAUGCUAACCGGAUCCGUUAUUUUCUUCCCUGACACUGUUUGUGACUUUGGAAGAAGGAUUAAAUACUACUCCCUCCGUUCUUUAAUAUAGGUCAUUUUAGAUAUAUGC